UACAGAGGUCUCAAGCGUUGUUCGGAUUCAUUGGGCGUAAAGGGUGCGUAGGCGGCGCGGUAAGUCGGGUGUGAAAUCUUGGAGCUUAACUCCGAAACUGCAUUCGAUACUGCCGCGCUUGAGGACUGGAGAGGAGACUGGAAUUCAUGGUGUAGCAGUGAAAUGCGUAGAGAUCAUGAGGAAGACCAGUGGCGAAGGCGGGUCUCUGGACAGUUCCUGACACUGAGACACGAAGGCCAGGGGAGCAAACGGG
rnacentral:rRNA from 1 species